GCUUGCUUCGGCACUGAAUAUACUCAAGUUGGAAUGAUACAGAGAAGAUUAACAUGGUCCCUGAGCAAGGAUGACACGCACAUUCGUGAAGCGUUCCAUGUUAAA